rnacentral:rRNA from 1 species
GGAGGAACUCUGACGCAGCCAUGCCGCGUGCAGGAAUAAGGCCCUACGGGUUGUAAACUGCUUUUAUACGGGAAGAACUAUGUUUACGUGUAAACAUUUGACGGUACCGUACGAAUAAGGAUCGGCUAACUCCGUGCCAGCAGCCGCGGUAAUACGGAGGAUCCAAGCGUUAUCCGGAUUUAUUGGGUUUAAAGGGUCCGCAGGCGGAAAAUUAAGUCAGUGGUGAAAUCCUACAGCUUAACUGUAGAACUGCCAUUGAUACUGAUUUUCUUGAGUACACCUGAAGUGGGCGGAAUGUGUCAUGUAGCGGUGAAAUGCUUAGAUAUGACACAGAACACCGAUUGCGAAGGCAGCUCACUAAAGUGUCACUGACGCUGAGGGACGAAAGCGUGGGUAGCGAACAGGAUUAGAUACCCUGGUAGUCCACGCCGUAAACGAUGAUCACUAGAUGUUGGCGAUAUAUUGUCAGUAUCUGAGCGAAAGCAUUAAGUGAUCCACCUGGGGAGUACGGUCGCAAGAUUGAAACUCAAAGGAAUUGACGGGGGCCCGCACAAGCGGUGGAGCAUGUGGUUUAAUUCGAUGGUACGCGAGGAACCUUACCUAGGCUUAAAUGUAGAUUGACGUAUUGGGAAACCAAUAUUUCUUCGGACAAUUUACAAGGUGCUGCAUGGUUGUCGUCAGCUCGUGCUGUGAAGUGUCGGGUUAAGUCCCAUAACGAGCGCAACCCUUAUCAUUAGUUGCUAACAUUUAGUUGAGGACUCUAAUGAAACUGCCCGCGUAAGCGUGGAGGAAGGUGGGGAUGACGUCAAAUCAUCACGGCCCUUACGUCUAGGGCUACACACGUGCUACAAUGGUGAAUACAGAGGGAUGCCAGCUGGUAACAGUGAGCAAAUCCACAAAAUUCAUCUCAGUUCGGAUUGAGGUCUGCAACUCGACCUCAUGAAGCUGGAAUCGCUAGUAAUCGUAUAUCAGCCAUGAUACGGUGAAUACGUUCCCGGGCCUUGUACACACCGCCCGUCAAGCCAUGGAAGUUGGGGAUACCUGAAGUCGGUAACCGAAAGGAGCUGCCUAAGGUAAAAUCAGUAACUGGGGCUAAGUCGUAACAAGGUAGCCGUACCGGAAGGUGUGGCUGGAAUAUCUCUUUUAU